rnacentral:lncRNA from 1 species
UAUCCUAAGUCAUGUCAAACUGCCGAUUUCAGGACUGGGAUGUGUUUUAAAAAAAAAAAAGAAAAAACAAAAACAAAAAACUUAAACUCCACUUUGUACCUUAGAUUUUAAAACUGGGUAGAAAUGUAAUAUACAUUGGACCACUUUUUUAAGCCUUAAUGAACAGUGUAUAUACAUCUGUGUAUGCACACUCCACCCCAGAGUGUUUUCAGUGUGCCAGAGAAGCAGCUGUAGCGUUAGGACAUGAGCCUGUCUAGUGUUUCCUAGGAAAGGGAUAGUUUUCUGUUGGUAUAGCAUUUUCUAAGGAAACUACUCACUCAGCGCCUACCCUUUGUUAGAAGUGUUGACGCUCCAAGCACGCGUGUGAAGCACCAUGUAUCUUGGCCGGUUUCAUAUUUGUAAGAAGCACCGGUAGGAACCUAAGAGCAUCGGUUGGAGUGUGACCUCUGAUGCCCCUGCAUUCCCGCCACUGUGUCUCUGUGUAUUGAAAGCCUCUCCUGUGACCACAGCCUGUGUUGACAGAUGUCUGUCUGUCCCUGUGCAAUCCAGUCUGGGCCUCAGACUCAGACUGCUGUAUCUAGCCUACGUUGUCACAAUUUCCUUCUCUGUUAACUCUGUGACUGUUCUUCCUUUUGCUACUCUCGACGUAACAUAUAUACAUAUGUGUGUGUGUGUGUGUGUGUGUGUGUGCUAUCCAAAUAUAUUUGUAUAUAUUUGUAUAGCAUUUUUACACUUUAGGAGUAAUCUGGAAUUCAAAAGGGAAUGAGAGCUUACUCCCUUCCACAGUUUCCUCCAAGCCCUGUCAAUUCUGACCCUCGACACCUGAGAGAACCCUAGAAGGACAUUAUUAGCUUGCUGUCAUUUCUGAACCCAGGAUCUGUCAUCAAAUGAAACAUGUUUAAAAAGUGACUCUGAAGGUGAAAAGAGUUUCAAGCAUUCCAAAUGAAUUCUCAGCGUUUCUUAACUUUUUAUUAUGACCCCCCUCCCCGCCCGCCACACACACACACACACACACACACACACACACACACACACACACACACACCUCCUAACGCAAAGCUGAGUGCUAUUUGAUACAAUAGUCAAAACCAAACUACCUUGACAUUUUUCUAAGACAGCUUAAUGGCUGAUGCUCGUCUUCACAGCCCGUGGCGGGCUUUAACGUAGCUCGAAUCUGGUACACGCAUAAAGUUUUACGGUCAAGUCCUUUUCUUUCUUCUUGAGAGACCUAAAGAGAUACUGUAGCUUGUUUUUCUGAUGGCAAAUGGGAACUGUGACAAAGUGAAGUCCUUGUAAAGCGGUGAUACAACUUGUCAAAUAUUUAAUAAAGAAUUACGGAAGCUGG